rnacentral:tRNA from 1 species
GGAGGGGUGUCCGAGCUGGCCUAAGGAGCGCGACUGGAAAUCGCGUAGGGGGCCAAAAGCUCCCUCGUGGGUUCGAAUCCCACCCCCUCCGCCA